GUUUUAUGUGUCCAGCCUUAUUUGUGCGUGCAGCCUUCGAGGUGCGACUUUCAAAUCCACGCUGAGUCACGCGAAUACAACGAUGACGUCAUCGCAACCUGACCACCGUGCCGCGGAUAAUGUGCUCCUGUGAAUACCUCACGAGAAAAACCUCUUUGUUCAGAAUCGAAAUUACAAAUCUGAAAAAAAAUGAAAUUUAUUUAACUACGUACAUAUUAUUAUACAAAAAAAUAAAAAAAAACUUAUUCCUAUUUUGUUCUGACAAAAAGACGUCUUAGGUCUAUGUUUUAAGAAAAAAAAUACUGACAAAUUUAUGAGUGAUAUGAUUCAUGUGGACGUUAUAAAUUAAUAGAUACUUAUAAAACUUCAUGAACUUUGUGCACAUUCAUAAUCACUCACUAUCGGAUGGGCUCAAUGCGUUUGCCUCUUAAGCGGCAUUGCAUGAAGAGCGGUGCUAUGACCGGGUGGGGGUGAAUGACCGCCAAACCGCGCCAAUCCGCCAUGUUGGAUCCGUCACGGCGCGCGCGCAUUAUGUCUUCACUGCGAACCUGCUCGCAUCAUUUUCAUCCACUCAGUAACAUCUCAUGCUCCCAUUUAUAUUCUACUUGAACACGUCGUCAGUAGUAUGGUCAACAUCAAUCAAAAUUUAGGUAAUAUCGAUAAAAAUCGCCAUGUGUUUCAUUGUUGUGUUCUAUCGGUGAGUGACACUGAGUUCACCAUAAUUUACUAAUCUAGCCUUCAAACCGGAACUCGUAACGACUUUACUGCACCAGUGGACAGGACUGUAGUACUGUACUUUCAACACUUGCAGCCCAGAGAGUUGUUAAUAACACCAUAGUGGGCACAAAAGAAAGAAAAUCUUUAGCGUAGCCGCCACUGACUUCAGCUCAGACCUAUUUCCUGCAGCCACCAAUCACCGUCGUUGCUCUAGACAUGUCCUGAAUAAUCCACCCGGUUCACCCUCAGAGCUAUGGAAAACUAGCCCAUCCCAUCCCAUUCUACCUAAGUACAGUAUCCAAAGCACAGCUUAAAUAUUAAAUGUGUGAAAAUGUCGUUGCGUUGUUUUUGGAAACAUAAAUAAAAUUCAAAUUAUAUGCAA